GAUAUGCCUGGCUCAGUCGUCAUGGUGCUGGACUUACAGUGGAGUUUAUAGAUCCUUCAUGAAUGGUCGUGUGAGAAACGCUUUGGGAACGCGAACGUGUUGUCCACGCUCUGACAUAAUGUGUGUAAUGAGCCAAAUUGGACGCGCGGCGUCAGCGGGCGGGGUGAUGUCAUGACCAGCAUGUCCAGGAGCAGAAAUAUUUGGUGAUUGGCAAAGCAUGGCAACCACUCGUAAAACCACCAGCAGUGAGAAUUACUUGAC